CCUACGGGAGGCAGCAGUGAGGAAUAUUGGUCAAUGGGCGCGAGCCUGAACCAGCCAAGUCGCGUGAGGGAGGACGGCCCUACGGGUUGUAAACCUCUUUUGCCGGGGAGCAACGGGCGCCACGUGUGGCGUCACUGAGAGUACCCGGAGAAAAAGCAUCGGCUAACUCCGUGCCAGCAGCCGCGGUAAUACGGAGGAUGCGAGCGUUAUCCGGAUUUAUUGGGUUUAAGGGGUGCGUAGGCGGCAUAAUAAGUUAGAAGGGAAAUACCCAGGGCUUAACUCGGGUGCUGCUUCUAAGACUGUUGAGCUUGAGUGCGGGAGAGGUUAAUGGAAUUCCUAGUGUAGCGGUGGAAUGCGUAGAUAUUAGGAGGAACACCAGAGGCGAAGGCGAUUAACUGGACCGUAACUGACGCUGGGGCACGAAAGUGUGGGUAGCAAACAGGAUUAGAUACCCUGGUAGUC
rnacentral:rRNA from 1 species